AUUGAACGCUGGCGGCAUGCCUUACACAUGCAAGUCGAACGGCAGCCCGGGUGCUUGCACCUGGUGGCGAGUGGCGAACGGGUGAGUAAUACAUCGGAACGUACCUUAUCGUGGGGGAUAACGCAGCGAAAGCUGUGCUAAUACCGCAUACGCCCUGAGGGGGAAAGCGGGGGAUCGAAAGACCUCGCGCGAUUAGAGCGGCCGAUGCCUGAUUAGCUUGUUGGUGGGGUAAAAGCCCACCAAGGCGACGAUCAGUAGCUGGUCUGAGAGGACGAACAGGCACACUGGAAGGAAGACACGGCCCAGACUCCGACGGGAGGCAGCAGUGGGGAAUUUUGGACAAUGGGGGCAACCCUGAUCCAGCAAUGCCGCGUGAGUGAAGAAGGCCUUCGGGUUGUAAAGCUCUUUUGUCAGGGAAGAAACACCGGCUCUAACACAGUCCGGGAAUGACGGUACCUGAAGAAUAAGCACCGGCUAACUACGUGCCAGCCGCCGCCGUAA
rnacentral:rRNA from 1 species